CCUACGGGUGGCAGCAGUGAGGAAUAUUGGUCAAUGGUCGUGAGACUGAACCAGCCAAGCCGCGUGAGGGAUGAAGGUACAGAGUAUCGUAAACCUCUUUUGUCAGGGAACAAAGGCGGGGACGUGUCCCCGGAUGAGUGUACCUGAAGAAAAAGCAUCGGCUAACUCCGUGCCAGCAGCCGCGGUAAUACGGAGGAUGCGAGCGUUAUCCGGAUUUAUUGGGUUUAAAGGGUUCGCAGGCGGACUGUCAAGUCAGCGGUAAAAGCCCGGGGCUCAACCCCGGCCCGCCGUUGAAACUGGCAGUCUCGAGUUGGAGAGAAGUAUGCGGAAUGCGCGGUGUAGCGGUGAAAUGCAUAGAUAUCGCGCAGAACUCCGAUUGCGAAGGCAGCAUGCCGGCUCCAAACUGACGCUGAGGCACGAAAGCGUGGGUAUCGAACAGGAUUAGAUACCCCUGUAGUC
rnacentral:rRNA from 1 species